rnacentral:tRNA from 1 species
UGGGGAGUGGCCAAAUGGUAAGGCAGCUCGCUCUGGACGAGAAGAUUGCAGGUUCGACUCCUGCCUCCCCAGCCA